rnacentral:lncRNA from 1 species
CAGAUUUGUUUCCACUGAGCCAUGACAGGAACUCUGAAUUGUUUCUUUUCAACUCUGCCUGAGAUUAGCUUCAUUAAGUUGAAUCACUUAGAAUGUCAAGAAUGUAAACAUGUAAAGACAAAUGUAUUACAAAAUAUUAACAUGCAGUAAAUGUGUUAGAAUACUCAGGUAUUUCAUUAUUUUGGUUUUGUUUGAGUUGCUUUAAGUGGUCAUCGUGACCAUUUUUUAAAAACUAUUAAUAGUCUUGGGGAGUUCCCGUGGCACAGUGGUUGAUGAAUCUGACUAGGAACCAUGAGGUUGUGGGUUCGAUCCCUGCCCUUGCUCAGUGGGUUAACGAUCCGGUGUUGCCGUGAGCUGUGGUGUAGGUCGCAGAUGUGGCUGGGAUCUGGCAUUGCUGUGGCUCUGGCGUAAGCUGGUGGCUACAGCUCCGAUUCGACCCCUAGCCUGGGAACCUCCAUAUGCCACGGGAGCGGCCCUAGAAAAGGCAAAAAGACAAAAAAUAAAUAAAUAAAAAUAAAAUAAAAACCACUACUAGUCUUGGAAAGAGUGUAGUGAUUAGAGUCACUAAAGUACACCGACUGCUAGAUGACUGUGGUUUUCCAGGUUAGCCCCAAUGCAGAACAUAGCAACGUUCUAUUAGAACUUUUACUCUUUUUAUAAAAAGGUAUUUUGUGAAAAUGAGCAUUUAAAAAUAUCUAUAUCAAAAUUCUUGAGCAGUAAUAUGACAUGAUAAAGUUGUUCUAAAUUCUCCUUGUUCUUACUUGUGUUUAGCAUGAGUCAUGAUUUCAUAUUACAUGUAUUAGUACAUAAAAAGAGGAGUCGGGGGAGUUCCGGUCGUGGCACAGCGGAAAGAAAUCCAGCAAGGAACCAUGAGGUUGUGGGUUCGAUCCCUGGCCUCAUUCAGUGGGUUAAGGAUCCGGUGUCGCCAUGAGCUGUGGUGUAGUUUGCAGAUAUGUGGCUUGGAUCCUGCAUUGCUGUGGCUCUGGCGUAGGCUCGAGGCUACAGCUCUGAUUAGACCCCUAGCCUGGGAACCUUCAUACGCCGCCGGUUCGGCCCUGAAAAAACACAAAGAGUCAGUUCCAGAAUUGUGGUAGUAACAUGAAAACUAUGCUCACGUAUUUUCUUUUCUGACCAUAGGAAUUCUCAAAGAAAGCACUGUCCUCUUCUAUCAGGUAAGACUGCUUGAAUCUUCCUUGUUCUCCUCUGGCUUGUCUACCAGCGUGACAAGUUGCCAAAGGUCCAUUAGGGGAGUUUGAAGUCUGGCCAGUUGCAGCUUUUCAGAUUGAGAGUUUAAUUACAUACCAGAAUUGCCUGUGAAUUUUCUAUUGCACGACUAUUGCUUUGUAAUUAUAUAGUAAUCAAAAAGCCUUUUGUCUGAAUAGAUUUGAUUCUAUUCUCCUGCAGUUAAAAACAAGAAAAGAAACAUUUUUCCCCUCAGAAUUUUCAAGUGACCAAUCUGUGGCUAAUUUAUAAUUAAUGCUUUCAGUUAGGUUCUCACAUGCCAUUUCCUUGAAUACUAAAUGAAUGAAUAUACUUCAUCUUCCAGUCGGAUGUGGGUCCAGUGUUCUCAGUGAGUGUUAUGACCUUUAUUUUUGGUGUAGAACUGAUAAGCUCUCAUAAUUUUGUGAGGGAAAGUGAACCCUAACAACAGCAAUUCAAAGAAAAAUUAGAUUAUUCCCAUAAUGAAGAAGGAGACGAGGAGUUCCCGUUGUGGCACAGGGGAAGCAGAAUCUGACUAGUAACCAUGAGGUUGUGGGUUCAAUUCCUGGCCUCGCUGAGUGGGUUAAGGAUCCGGCGUUGCCAUGAACUGUGGUGUAGAUUGCAGAUGCAGCUCAGAUCCUGCAUUGCUGUGGCUAUGGCCUAGGCCAACAGCUGUAGCUCUGAUUUGACCCCUAGCCUGGGAACCUAUAUAUGCCAUAGGUCCAGCCCUAAAAAGCAAAAAAAAAAAAAAA